ensembl:snRNA U6 U6 spliceosomal RNA
AUGCUCGCUUUGGUAGCACAUAUACUAAAACUGGAACAAUGCAGAGAAGAUUAGCAUGGCCCCCGUGCAAGGAUGAUGUGCAAAUUCAUGAAGAUUCCAUAUUUUUA